rnacentral:rRNA from 1 species
UGCUGCAGCUAACGCAUUAAGCACUCCGCCUGGGGAGUACUACCGCAAGUUUGAAACUCAAAGGAAUUGACGGGGACCCGCACAAGCGGUGGAGCAUGUGUUUUAAUUCGAAGCAACGCGAAGAACCUUACCAAAUCUUGACAUCCUUUGACAACUCUAGAGAUAGAGCCUUCCCAUUCGGGGGACAAAGUGACAGUUGGUGCAUGGUUUUCGUCAGCUCGUGUCGUGAGAUGUUGGGUUAAU